rnacentral:rRNA from 1 species
AGUGAACGCUGGCGGUAGGCCUAACACAUGCAAGUCGAACGGCAGCACAGUAAGAGCUUGCUCUUACGGGUGGCGAGUGGCGGACGGGUGAGGAAUACAUCGGAAUCUACUUUUUCGUGGGGGAUAACGUAGGGAAACUUACGCUAAUACCGCAUACGACCUACGGGUGAAAGCAGGGGAUCUUCGGACCUUGCGCGAUUGAAUGAGCCGAUGUCGGAUUAGCUAGUUGGCGGGGUAAAGGCCCACCAAGGCGACGAUCCGUAGCUGGUCUGAGAGGAUGAUCAGCCACACUGGAACUGGGACACGGUCCAGACUCCUACGGGAGGCAGCAGUGGGGAAUAUUGGACAAAGGGCGCAAGCCUGAUCCAGCCAUACCGCGUGUGUGAAGAAGGCCUUCGGGUUGUAAAGCCCUUUUGCUGGGAAAGAAAAGCAGCAGGUUAAUACCCCGCUGUUCUGACGGUACCCAAAGAAUAAGCACCGGCUAACUUCGUG